GCCAACAUGGUGUAGUGGUUUGUGCAUUGAACUAUGACUCUGGAGAUCAGGGUUCGAUUCCCUGUCUGGCCA